UACAGAGGUCCCAAGCGUUGUUCGGAUUCACUGGGCGUAAAGGGUGCGUAGGUGGCUGGGUAAGUUUGAUGUGAAAUCUCCGGGCUCAACCCGGAAAAUGCAUUGAAUACUAUCCAGCUCGAGGUUUGGAGGGGGGACUGGAAUUCUUGGUGUAGCAGUGAAAUGCGUAGAUAUCAAGAGGAACACCAGUGGCGAAGGCGAGUCCCUGGACAAAUCCUGACACUGAGGCACGAAAGCUAGGGGAGCAAAC
rnacentral:rRNA from 1 species